UAGGGAAUCUUCGGCAAUGGACGAAAGUCUGACCGAGCAACGCCGCGUGAGUGAAGAAGGUUUUCGGAUCGUAAAACUCUGUUGUUAGAGAAGAACAAGGACGUUAGUAACUGAACGUCCCCUGACGGUAUCUAACCAGAAAGCCACGGCUAACUACGUGCCAGCAGCCGCGGUAAUACGUAGGUGGCAAGCGUUGUCCGGAUUUAUUGGGCGUAAAGCGAGCGCAGGCGGUCUGUCAAGUCGGAUGUGAAAUCCCCGGGCUCAAACUGGGAACUGCAUUCGAAACUGGCAGGCUAGAGUCUUGUAGAGGGGGGUAGAAUUCCAGGUGUAGCGGUGAAAUGCGUAGAGAUCUGGGGGAAUACCGGUGGCGAAGGCGGCCCCCUGGACAAAGACUGACGCUCAGGUGCGAAAGCGUGGGGAGCAAACAGG
rnacentral:rRNA from 1 species